rnacentral:misc_RNA from 1 species
GAUGAAGAACGCAGCGAAAUGCGAUAAGUAAUGCGAAUUGCAGAAUUCAGUGAAUCAUCGAAUCUUUGAACGCACAUUGCGCCCCUUGGUAUUCCAUGGGGCAUGCCUGUUCGAGCGUCAUUUGUACCUUCAAGCCUUGCUUGGUGUUGGGUGUUUGUCUCGCCUCUGCGCGCAGACUCGCCUCAAAACAAUUGGCAGCCGGCGUAUUGAUUUCGGAGCGCAGUACAUCUCGCGCUUUGCACUCAGAACGACGACGUCCAAAAGUACAUUUUUACACUCUUGACCUCGGAUCAGGUAGGGAUACCCGCUGAACUUAAGCAUAUCAAUAAGCGGAGGA